CCCGCUCAGAAACUCAAAUGAAUUGACGGGGGCCCGCACAAGCGGAGGAGCAUGUGGUUUAAUCGAUGAUACGCGAGGAACCUUACCUGGGCUCGAACGUAAGAUGACUGUAGGUGAAAGCUUACAUCUCUUCGGAGCAUUUUACGAGGUGCUGCAUGGUUGUCGUCAGCUCGUGCCGUGAGGUGUCGGGUUAAGUCCCAUAACGAGCGCAACCCCUACCUUUAGUUGCCAUCAGGUAAUGCUGGGGACUCUAAAGGAACUGCCUACGCAAGUAGUGAGGAAGGCGGGGAUGACGUCAAAUCAGCACGGCCCUUACGUCCAGGGCUACACACGUGCUACAAUGGCCGAUACAGAGGGCAGCUACCUGGUGACAGAAUGCAAAUCUCCAAAGUCGGUCUCAGUUCGGAUCGGAGUCUGCAACCCGACUCCGUGAAGUUGGAUUCGCUAGUAAUCGCGCAUCAGCCAUGGCGCGGUGAAUACGUUCCCGGGCCUU
rnacentral:rRNA from 1 species